GCGCGAGUGGCGGAACUGGCAGACGCGCCAGAUUUAGGUUCUGGUGUCCGCGGACGUGGGGGUUCGAGUCCCCCCUCGCGCA
rnacentral:tRNA from 1 species